UACGUAGGGCGCGAGCGUUGUCCGGAAUUAUUGGGCGUAAAGAGCUCGUAGGCGGUCUGUCGCGUCGGCCGUGAAAACCUGCAGCUUAACUGUGGGCCUGCGGCCGAUACGGGCAACAUCGUGAUGUCGGUAGGGAGACUGGAAUUCCGUGGUGUAGCGGUGAAAUGCGCAGAUAUCAGGAGGAACACCGGUGGCGAAGGCGGUUCUCUGGGCCUGUACUGACGCUGAGGAGCGAAAGCUAGGGAGCAAACAGG
rnacentral:rRNA from 1 species